rnacentral:rRNA from 1 species
AGUCGAACGCUUCUUUUCCACCGGAGCUUGCUCCACCGGAAAAAGAGGAGUGGCGAACGGGUGAGUAACACGUGGGUAACCUGCCCAUCAGAAGGGGAUAACACUUGGAAACAGGUGCUAAUACCGUAUAACAAUCGAAACCGCAUGGUUUUGAUUUGAAAGGCGCUUUCGGGUGUCGCUGAUGGAUGGACCCGCGGUGCAUUAGCUAGUUGGUGAGGUAACGGCUCACCAAGGCCACGAUGCAUAGCCGACCUGAGAGGGUGAUCGGCCACAUUGGGACUGAGACACGGCCCAAACUCCUACGGGAGGCAGCAGUAGGGAAUCUUCGGCAAUGGACGAAAGUCUGACCGAGCAACGCCGCGUGAGUGAAGAAGGUUUUCGGAUCGUAAAACUCUGUUGUUAGAGAAGAACAAGGAUGAGAGUAACUGUUCAUCCCUUGACGGUAUCUAACCAGAAAGCCACGGCUAACUACGUGCCAGCAGCCGCGGUAAUACGUAGGUGGCAAGCGUUGUCCGGAUUUAUUGGGCGUAAAGCGAGCGCAGGCGGUUUCU